CGAACGGGUGAGUAACACUGGGCAACCUGCCCAAAANAGGGGGAUAACACUUGGAAACAGGGUGCUAAUACCGCAUAACCAUAGUUACCGCAUGGUAACUAUGUAAAAGGUGGCUAUGCUACCGCUUUUGGAUGGGCCCGCGGCGCAUUAGCUAGUUGGUGGGGUAAAGGCUUACCAAGGCAAUGAUGCGUAGCCGAACUGAGAGGUUGAUCCGGCCACAUUGGGACUGAGACACGGCCAAACUCCUACGGGAGGCAGCAG
rnacentral:rRNA from 1 species